UUCAGUUUUAGUAUAAGUUUAUUACGAGGGUCUUGUAAACCUUAGAUCUGUAUGUUUAUGGGAACUGAAU
rnacentral:tRNA from 2 species